rnacentral:tRNA from 1 species
GGACGUUUAGCUCAGAUGGUCAGAGCUGUCGGCUCAUAACCGACUGGUCAUAGGUUCGAAUCCUAUAUCGUCCA